GAUGAACGCUGGCGGCGUGCCUAAUACAUGCAAGUCGAGCGAACAGAUAAGGAGCUUGCUCCUUUGACGUUAGCGGCGGACGGGUGAGUAACACGUGGGUAACCUACCUAUAAGACUGGAAUAACUCCGGGAAACCGGGGCUAAUGCCGGAUAACAUGUUGAACCGCAUGGUUCUACAGUGAAAGGCGGCUUUGCUGUCACUUAUAGAUGGACCCGCGCCGUAUUAGCUAGUUGGUGAGGUAACGGCUCACCAAGGCAACGAUACGUAGCCGACCUGAGAGGGUGAUCGGCCACACUGGAACUGAGACACGGUCCAGACUCCUACGGGAGGCAGCAGUAGGGAAUCUUCGGCAAUGGGCGAAAGCCUGACGGAGCAACGCCGCGUGAGUGAUGAAGGUCUUCGGAUCGUAAAACUCUGUUAUUAGGGAAGAACAAAUGCGUAAGUAACUGUGCGCGUCUUGACGGUACCUAAUCAGAAAGCCACGGCUAACUACGUG
rnacentral:rRNA from 1 species